CCAGCAUGCACGGCUCAGGACGCAGGAGCAAGGCUAAAGCAUAGUGCUGCAGGACUGCUGAGCUGCCUGAUAGAGCCCUUUGAGCAGAAGAAAAUUCUCAUGUGGCUACCUGGAUUGUCUGAAGUUGCCAGUUGUUUCCAGAGCAGGUGAAACACAUAUUACAAUUUUCUGGAAUAGAAACAAAUAAGAAGCCAACUGUGAGAUUUGUCCAGUGUUGUCUGCUGGAGCACAUCCAGAAAGUUCUGGUCAACCGAAAUCAGAAUGGCCCUCCGGAGGCUCCUGUUGCUCUACAGACAUCAUCCUGUUCCUAGAAAGGAUGAGGUUCCUAGUGCACUGAAACCUGUCUGUACAAGAAGGUUGGUGGAUUGGACUGAAGAUUUUUGGAUAGUUCCGUAAAGCAAGAUAUUUCAGGGGGAACAGCUUCAUCCAUCUAUCUGUUUGUCUUUCUAUCUAUCUGUCUGUCUGUCUGUCUCUCUAUCUAUCAUGUACAAUAAACUACACCACUGGUCGUUCCUUGUA